CUGAGCUCUGAAACGGCUCUGAAACGGAAUCUUGCAGCAUAUCCUGGAAAAGCAAAUGGAUACAGGCCUUGUUGACUGGCUCAGCCUCAUAGACUUUUUCAGCUUUUGAUGACUCUGAUAGUUUUAAGAACAACUUGCUGCAUUGGUGGAAUUUCCAGGAUUAUGCUGAGUAAUUGUGUCAGAAGAAAUUCUAUAGUCACCUUGGAUUCCAGUAAAAACCUUCAUAAUGCUGAGACUAUCCAAAGCAGAAACAAUCAGUACAUGGAGACUGAAUUGCCCCUUCAAAAGUGAUAAGAAUUUCUCCAGAGCCACCUUGCAAAAUCAGAACUGACAUACUGAUCAACCUAACCCUACCCCACCUCAGAAAGUCCAGAAGAAACAGCCUCAUUUCUUUACUAACAGGCCAAUCAUCUUCUCCAUCAGAGUUGUGACCCCUUCAGCCCAUUGAGCUAAAGUCUCUUACCUAUUUUUUAUUUUUUCUAUCUGUACCUGAUAAAUUUGCCUCUACCUCUCAUGAAGUAUCCUAAAAUGUAUUUCUACAACACCACAUCAGGAACAUGUCCAGGCCCAGAUGAAAUCUCCAUCUACUCUUUAAGGGGACUUCUUCAAACACCAUGAAGUGACAACUUCGUGCUCCUAAAACACUUGUGUGACUAUCCCUUUUUAGUUAAAUUUAAUACAGGAAUAUUUCAAGUUUCUAAAGUAUUAACUAAGAAAUUGUGUUAGUUUUGCAGUUCGGGUAACAUUUAGUUAAUGUAAUUUUAAGGCUGGUCUGUGAUUUGAGAUUAUUUGUUAUUAAUUAAAGAUAGAAUAAAAUUAUUUUUUGCUACUGCUAUGACUUGUAUCUAGAUGUCCCCUCAAAGCCUCACGUGCUUAUAGGUGGGAAGUUUCAGAGGUGACUGGAUUAGGGUAAAUGAAUGUGGAUCAAGGGUGUGAUGCUGGGAUUAAGGGUGCCCUACCCUGGGUGUGGAUGGCAUCAAUCAAUAGGCUUACAGCCUUUAUGGAAUAUAAAGAGACAGAAAGAAAGCAGGGCUGCUGCUGCUGUGGUUGUUCCUGCUGCUGGGUGCUUUUUGCUUGCCCUGCAACACCAUGGACUCUCCUCUGUAAUGGCCCUCUCUCAUCCUGCGCUGGCUUGGAGUCAGCUUAGUACCUGGAC
ensembl:lncRNA